GGACAAAAAAACAGACACCGCAUGUUCUCACUCACAGGAACACCAAGAGAAGGCGGAAAUCUUCAAGUCAGAAAGAGAGCUCGCUGAAACCUGACCAUGUUGGCACCCUGAUCUUAGACUUCCAGGCUCUGAAACUAUACUUGUUGCAUGGUUUCCAUUCUGUGCUGCCUUCUCUUCUGGACGAUGGGGUUAGGAUAGUGAAUGAGAAGGUAAGUUCUAUGCUACAAAAUUUAGCAAGAUGGAAAUUGUGUGUGUUAUAAAGAAAAAUAAAUUGCAGAUAAGGAGAGCCUAACAGAAAGCCAGUUUGCGUUAGCUGUUCACUAACAGGUUUUCCUUAUAGGUGUAAAUUUAUUUUAUAAAAGGACAGCUUUUCAGAGCUAAUUCUGUGUCUGCAGUUUCUGUGAAUAACCAUCUCAAAAUAUACCAAAGAAACGUACUUUGGGGUGAUGUAUUUUAAUUUCCUACCCAUAUUUAGACCAGAAUUAACUGGAAAAAUAUAAUAUAUCCCUCCCUUUCACUAUAAAAUGUCAGGAUUUAUGUCAAACAUAAAUUAGAGACCCUA
rnacentral:lncRNA from 1 species